GGGACAGACGCUGUUUACACGAUUGCAAUGAAAGUGUGGCGGGGAGCUUAGGAUCCGUGUGAUGCAGCAGGGAGGCAGCACGCCUUUCAGUUCCGCCCACAGGUGACACCGGGACUGGGAGAGCCGCAGAGGAGGGCCAGCUGCUGCAGGCACAGGGAAGCCAAUUAUAUUGCUUUUGCAUAGCACGAUGAUAAACUCAUGUUGCAGGUAGGAGCCAAAAUUUGGAAUGUUAAAAAAUCCGCCACCCCUCAAGAAAGGUGUUGGGCCUGUAAGGACAAGAUCAGAAUAACAGUGAUGCACACUUAAAGCACAUACACAAGUUCAAAACGAGCAUUUUUUAAAUCAACACAAAGCAAAGCCUUUCCCAUGAUGUGAAUGGACACAGAAACACAAUCACACAUGGAGAUAGAGGAGGGGGUCAGUAGUGACAGCACAACACUCACAAAACACACUCGUAAGCACGCAUGGCAGAUAAUCACAGGAAUCGGAUUCCUAAAGCCGGUCUGGCUGAACUGUUAACAUUUAUGACCAUAGUAUUUUGAUAUUUGAAUGCAGUUUUGUUCAAUUCUGUUGAGGGUAAAAGAGGGUUACUGAAAAACUCUGAAAGUGUCGGAGGGAUCAGUUAGGAUCAGUUCCCCCUGCUCCUUCUCUAUAACACAGAGCUGCUGCUGCUACUCCAGGGUUGAUAUGACUGACAAGACAACUGAACCACAGGAGUUCUUUCUACUCGUACGUCACCUUAACUGUACAGCAGCCCUUUCAGUUAGCAAACCUAACCAUCCUAACACGACGCCAUCUUCCAAACAGAAAUCAAAGAUUUUUCCCUGAAUGGAAUCUCUGGAGAAGAACCUCAACCUGCCCUACAGCUGCAUUAGCAAAGACUUCAUUUCCAUCCAGAGCCUCAUACCAUUUUAACCCUUCAACACAAAUGCUGGUAUAGACCAUUCUCUUCUGCACCAUGUUUUCCAAGUAAAUAAAUACAUCCCUGUAACAGCAUCAGAAAAAAAACCCUAAAUUAAAAAAAGGCAAAGAGACCUUUUCAUCCCUACAUUCACUAUUUUUCCAUUCUUAAAGGAAGCAUUAAGAAUAUCUAACAGUCUUUUAAAGAAUACAUCCGAUACUGCCUGGUAAUGAACUUGUUAACUGUACAAAUAGAAUCCUGUCCAAUUUCAAACCCCACUGAAUAAUUCCAGCUUUUGGCAAAAAACACAAUCAGUCAACUGUUUAGUCUCAGAUAAAACAAACAUAUAACUGUAUUUACACAUUCAUCAUUUUCCAGAACAUUAUUAAAAGCCUUUUGUGAGCUAAUACAGACCGAAGCAUGCAGUCAUGCACAUGGAAUUCUAAACUAAAUGAUAACGGGGCAGUGCUGUGGACACAAGAUCUUGUUAGCAGGUCAUUUCUUCACAUUACUGGAAAUCAAUACCAGAUUUUUAUUUGUAACUCUGAAGAAAACAAGUAGCUGUUAACACAUUGUUACAAAAAGAAAAAUGUUACUGCAUUCCAAAUAAGCUCUUACGCCUUCUAAUAUUAUUCAAAUAAGGAGAAGAAAGGCAGUGUAUGCAACUAGACCAUGAACAAUUAAUGCUUAACUUUAAGGUUAUAGAUAGUACGUGUUGGUAAAGAGUGUAAAAGCAUAGCCUGCUAUCAAGAUAGCCUGUGCCUGAGAACCGUGCACACACUCUG